UCACCCAGUGACACCACGUUAGAUAAAACUACCGUAUAUACCGGCGUACAAGACGACUUUUGAACCCUGGGAAAUCAUCUGUAAAGUCUGGAGUCGUCUUAUACACCGGGUACUGAGCGGGUUGUACUGA